GAGCACGUAGGUGGGUUUGUAAGUCAGGUGUGAAAGCCUUCUGUUCAACGGAAGAAUUGCAUCUGAAACUGCGAGUCUUGAGUGUAGGAGGGGAGAAUGGAACUUCUGGUGGAGCGGUGAAAUGCGUAGAUAUCAGAAGGAACGCCGGCGGCGAAAGCGAUUCUCUGGCCUAUUACUGACACUCAAUGUGCGAAAGCUAGGGGAGCAAACGGGAUUAGAUACCCCGGUAGUCCUAGCCGUAAACGAUGGGCACUAAGUAGAGGGG
rnacentral:rRNA from 1 species